UUAAUUUAAUAGUCUUUCACUCAUAUAAUCGCGGGGAUAUGGCCUGCAAGUUUCUACCGAGUUACCGUAAAUAACUUGACUAUGAGUGAGCAAUGGAUAGAG
rnacentral:ncRNA from 2 species